UCCUGGUGAUGAAGCUCGCAAACGUCUUACGCCCAGUGUCGACGCCAGAUCCUGAAAAGGUGAACCCUCUGGCGUUGCCUGGGCGACAAGGGGAUGACUCGUUGGGGUUACCAACUGUCUGAUGGGA